GUAGGUGGCAAGCGUUGUCCGGAAUUAUUGGGCGUAAAGCGCGCGCAGGUGGUUCUUUAAGUCUGAUGUGAAAGCCCCCCGGGCUCAACCGGGGAGGGUCAUUGGAAACUGGGGAACUUGAGUGCAGGAGAGGAAAGUGGAAUUCCACGUGUAGCGGUGAAAUGCGUAGAUAUGUGGAGGAACACCAGUGGCGAAGGCGACUUCCUGGCCUGUAACUGACACUGAGGCGCGAAAGCGUGGGGAGCAAACAGGAUUAGAUACCCUGGUAGUCCACGCCGUAAACGAUGAGUGCUAAGUGUUGGGGGGUUUCCGCCCCUCAGUGCUGCAGCUAACGCAUUAAGCACUCCGCCUGGGGAGUACGGUCGCAAAGACUG
rnacentral:rRNA from 1 species